AGUGAACGCUGGCGGUAGGCCUAACACAUGCAAGUCGAACGGCAGCACAGUAAGAGCUUGCUCUUACGGGUGGCGAGUGGCGGACGGGUGAGGAAUACAUCGGAAUCUACUUUUUCGUGGGGGAUAAUGUAGGGAAACUUACGCUAAUACCGCAUACGACCUACGGGUGAAAGCAGGGGAUCUUCGGACCUUGCGCGAUUGAAUGAGCCGAUGUCGGAUUAGCUAGUUGGCGGGGUAAAGGCCCACCAAGGCGACGAUCCGUAGCUGGUCUGAGAGGAUGAUCAGCCACACUGGAAAUGAGACACGGUCCAGACUCCUAAGGGAGGCGCAAGUGGGGAAUAUUGGACAAUGGGCGCAAGCCUGAUCCAGCCAUACCGCGUGGGUGAAGAAGGCCUUCGGGUUGUAAAGCCCUUUUGUUGGGAAAGAAAAGCAGCAGGUUAAUACCCCGCUGUUCUGACGGUACCCAAAGAAUAAGCACCGGCUAACUUCGUG
rnacentral:rRNA from 1 species